UCUGGUUGAUCCUGCCAGUAGUCAUAUGCUUGUCUCAAAGAUUAAGCCAUGCAUGUCUAAGUACAAACCUUAAUACGGUGAAACCGCGAAUGGCUCAUUAAAUCAGCUAUGGUUCCUUAGAUCGUCUCAUCCUACUCGGAUAACUGUGGAAAAUCUAGAGCUAAUACGUGCUUACAAGCCCUGACCUCACGGGAGGGGCGCAUUUAUUAGAUCAAAACCAAUCGGGGCUUGCCCCGUCUGCUUGGUGACUCUGGAUAACUUUUGUGCUGAUCGCAUGGCCUCUGCGCUGGCGACGUAUCUUUCAAGUGUCUGCCCUAUCAACUUACGAUGGUAGGUGAUAUGCCUACCAUGGUUAUAACGGGUAACGGGGAAUCAGGGUUCGAUUCCGGAGAGGGAGCCUGAGAAACGGCUACCACAUCUAAGGAAGGCAGCAGGCGCGCAAAUUACCCACUCCCGGCACGGGGAGGUAGUGACGAAAAAUAACGAUACGGGACUCUUUUGAGGCCCCGUAAUUGGAAUGAGUACACUUUAAAUCCGUUAACAAGUAUCUAUUGGAGGGCAAGUCUGGUGCCAGCAGCCGCGGUAAUUCCAGCUCCAAUAGCGUAUAUUAAUGUUGCUGCAGUUAAAAAGCUCGUAGUUGGAUCUGAGGACUCGAAUUGGUGGUGCACCAUACGGUGUUACUGCCGAUUCGGCCUACCUAGUCGGUGCUCGCUCUUGGUGUUCUUAAUUGAAUGCCCUGAGUGCCCGGCAAGUUUACUUUGAAAAAAUUAGAGUGCUCAAAGCAGGCCAUUAGCCGGAAUACUUCAGCAUGGAAUAAUGGAAUAGGACUUCGGUUCUAUUUUGUUGGUUUUCGGAACCCGAGGUAAUGAUUAAGAGAGACAGACGGGGGCAUUCGUACUGCGGUGUUAGAGGUGAAAUUCUUGGAUCGCCGCAAGACGAACAACUGCGAAAGCAUUUGCCAAGAAUGUUUUCAUUAAUCAAGAACGAAAGUCAGAGGUUCGAAGACGAUCAGAUACCGUCCUAGUUCUGACCAUAAACGAUGCCAACUGGCGAUCCGAGAUCGUUUGCUUAUUGACCUCUCGGGCAGCCUCCGGGAAACCAAAGUUUUUAGGUUCCGGGGGAAGUAUGGUUGCAAAGCUGGAACUGUUCAAAUUGCAACUCUGCCUGUGACACCAAGUGGUCGGGUUACUUGGUCUGUUCUGGCCCGGAGUCGGUAGGGUUUCCGGCCUUGUGCUCUUUCCUUACUGUUCUCUGUAACGCCGAAGGCGGGGCUUCCACGGUGGGGAAGCGGUUGUACAAAUCCGGCAAAUCCAGCCAAAUGGGUUCCGGACUCUGUCCAACCUGCAACUGGUAACAGCCUCGGCUGGCUAACAUUUGAGCUGGGACUCGCUUGGGAGGAGCGAGGAUAAUAUAAACCUCUAUGUGACUGAGGUGAGGAAUCUGGUUCUCGUAAAAUGGCUGGAGAUCCCGAGCCUGUAAGUCAUAAAUUAGUUCCCCACGGGGAGGUGUCGAAUUGAAGCCAGUGCGUGCCCUUACUAGUUUAAGGGAUUGUAUACUUCCUUUGGUGUACCCACCUGGAAGUGCCCAAGGGGUCCUAUCCCUGCACU
rnacentral:rRNA from 1 species